rnacentral:rRNA from 1 species
UGCCUAAUACAUGCAAGUCGAGCGGNUCUUCAUUAGCUUGCUUUUGAAGAUCAGCGGCGGACGGGUGAGUAACACGUGGGCAACCUGCCUGUAAGACUGGGAUAACUUCGGGAAACCGGAGCUAAUACCGGAUAAUCCUUUCCCUCACAUGAGGGAAAGCUGAAAGACGGNAUCUCGCUGUCACUUACGGAUGGGCCCGCGGCGCAUUAGCUAGUUGGUGRGGUAACGGCUCACCAAGGCAACGAUGCGUAGCCGACCUGAGAGGGUGAUCGGACACACUGGGACUGAGACACGGCCCAGACUCCUACGGGAGGCAGCGGUUGGGAAUCUUCCGCAAUGGACGAAAGUUUGACGGAGCAACGCCGCGUGAACCAUGAAGGCUUUCGGGUCGUAAAGUUCUGUUGUCAGGGAAGAACAAGUACCGGAGUAACUGCCGGUACCUUGACGGUACCUGACCAGAAAGCCACGGAUAACUACGUGCCAGCAGCCGCGGUAAUACCUAGGUGGCAAGCGUUGUCCGGAAUUAUUGGGCGUAAAGCGCGCGCAGGCGGUUCCUUAAGUCUGAUGUGAAAGCCCCCGGAUCAACCGGGGAGGGUCAUUGGAAACUGGGGAACUUGAGUGCAGAAGAAGAGA